UUACGGUGCCGGUGUGUGUGUGAGUGUAUAUGUCGCUGCUCACACAGAGGCGAGGCGGCACGCUGUACCUACAGAGAGGACGAAAACAAAAUACGAACAGGACGAAGUGUCUGAAAACAUGAGACGGGACUUUUUGUUGUAGCCACUGACACCGUCCUCACCCGGCUCCUUUUCUCCUUUUGUUUUCGGUGUUAAACUUCGGCUCUGCCAGCGUUUACCGGAGUGCCACUCACCUCGCACGCGUUACCUUUCACACCGGCUGCCUCCGUUUGACUUUUCGUGAUUUUUUUUUUUCUUCGGGUCGGGGAGGAAGAAAAACAAAAGCCAACUUUACCGUGGUCCUCUGAGCCAGCUCUGAAAUCAGAGAAAAGUGGUCGCAGCCCUCAGACAGGAUCUUUCAUAGUCAGUGGGAUGUUAGUGCUCUGGAAGCAGGACCAGGACUGACUGAAGGAGCAUGGUGAAACACCAACCCCUCCAGGUCUAUGAGCGCCAGCUGUGUUUGUCUUGUAUCACUGGGAUCUACGGUUGCCGCUGGAAACGCUAUCAACGUUCCCAUGAUGAUACCACUAAGUGGGAGCUGCUGUGGUCCCUCAUCCUCCUUUUUACCUUCUGUCUGCUGCUGGUCUGGUUCUACUUCUGGUGGGAGGCACAUAAUGACUACAAUGAAUUCAACUGGUCCCUCUACAACCGCUCUGGAGAGUGGAGUGAUGGCACUGUUCCCAUCCUGGCCACCACCGCCGCUGGCUUCACCUAUAUUGCAUUUUUAGUGGUUUUAGCACUUUGCCACAUUGCGCUUGGGCAACAGUUAAAUUUGCACUGGCUCCAUAAGAUAGGAGUGACUGCUGCUCUGCUCACCACCAUCGUUGGGGUGAUAUCUGUCUGUCAAACAUGGGGGCAAGAGUGGGAUGUCAUCCCCAUCUCGCUGCAGGCUACAGGUCCGUUCCUGCACAUAGGAGCUCUUGCUGCGGUCACGGCGCUGUCUUGGAUUGUGGCCGGACAGGUCGCCCGCGCAGAAAAAACAAUGUUCCAGGUGGUGGUCGUGCUGCUGUAUCUCAGCGUGUUACUGGGACUCUAUGUUAUGCCCCUCUACAUCACCUCCCCCUGCAUCAUGGAGCCCACCACCCUCAAACCACGUCCCGAUGUCAUUGGUCACCAGGGAGCCCCCAUGCUUGCUCCAGAGAACACACUGUGGUCUUUCCAGCGAGCUCUGCAGAUGAACGUCACUGGGUUUGAGACUGAUGUGGCUAUCAGCAUGGAUGGAGUGCCUUUCCUGAUGCACGACCGCACCCUGCGGAGGACCACAGACGUAGAGAAGGUUUUCCCAGACCGACAGAUGGAAGAUGCCUCGUUCUUCAACUGGACAGAUCUGCAACAGCUCAACGCAGGACAGUGGUUCCUCAAGGAUGACCCCUUCUGGACGGUGCACACCAUGUCCCCGCAUGAGAAGACUCUGAUUGCCAACCAGAGUGUGUGCAGCCUGGAGCAGCUCUUAAAGAUGGCCUCAUAUCAUAACAGCACAGUGGUUUUCAGGCUCGCGAGACCUCCUUCGGAGCACCCCUGCUACGACAGCUGGAUCAAUGAUACACUGCACGCUGUGCAGCAGUCCGGGGUUCCUCAGAGCCUGGUGAUGUGGACACCAGAUGAGUACAGGGCUCAGGUGAGACAGAUGGUGCCCGGUCUGAUCCAGACCUCACUGGAGAAACGGAGUCCUCAAAGUCUCCCUCAGUCGGGCAUCAGCAGGCUGUUGCUCAGAUACAAUCAGGCCAGCACACAGGAAAUCAGUGAGUUCUCUGAGGGACACAUCAAACUCACCCUCUACACUGUCAACGAGCCCUGGCUGUACUCUGUGCUCUGGUGCAGCGGGGUGCCUUCGGUGUCUUCAGAGGCCCCGCAUAUCCUCAUAAAGGUGCCUUACCCAAUCUGGCUCAUGAGACCACAUGAAUACUGCCUGAUGUGGGUGUCUGCAGACCUCAUCUCCUUUGCUGUAGUCAUAGGAAUAUUCAUUUUGCAGAAGUAUCGGAUGAGCGGCAUGCGCAGCUACAACCCUGAACAGAUCAUGCUGAGCGCCGCAGUCAGGAGGUCCAGUCGAGACAUCAGCGUCAUGAAGGAGAAACUCAUCUUUUCUGGUCAGCCCCAGUAGCCGCCUGCCUCCUCCAUCCUUCGUGUGUUGAUGCGCACCACCUCCUGUCCAUCCUACCUCCUCUCCAUCUCCUCCGCCAGCAGUGACUUCCUCCUUUUAUUCCAUGCAUCUGUUUCCUCCCUCGUUACCUGACACCUCUUUGCCCACUUUGCCCCUCUCCCCUUCAUCCAUUCAUCCAUCGCUUCAUGCACCAAAUCUCACCCACAUUCCUCCCAAUGGACACAACGUUAUGUGUAGGGGAGCUUAUAGACGCCCCAGUCUGUCUAGUGGUGGGGACGAAAGAGGUGAGGAAUGGCGUUGGCAGUGCUGAGGAGCUGUAUGCGGACAAUGGCUACAACUACUACACCAAUCAGGGCGCCAGCCAGUGAUUGGAGCGAAGCCUGUGUGAAUCUGCUGCGCUGAGACGGAGACAAAAACACUCUCAGUGUUCAGAUCAUUCCUGUGUAAAAGUCUGUCCUCCUCUGCCUCUGACGGAGAAAACCACCACCCCCCAGUUUCUUUGUGUACAUUGUGUAAAUAGGGUUUCUGCUUGUCAGAUAUACUGUGUAUCACACAGGACUACACGCACUUUUUAUUGAUGGAAUUUGCCCCCCACCCCACCUCCCUUAUCUUACCAAUGCCUGCUUCUCCUUAAAGAUGAGUUUCCAGCUCAUUUUCCAAAGCAGUUUAUUAUUUCAAGCACUGUAAAGGCUGUUCCUCUCUUAGCAGAUGAAUUUCUUUUUAACAAGGCUUUUUACGAUCUUUUAUUGCAGCAUGAGACAAAAAUCUUAACAGCUCAUUUUGCGCCUGCCUUCUGUCAGCACUCCGCUGUGCUGCUGUUCAUACUAGUAGUCGAUAUUUAUAUUUAAAGAGAAAAACAAAAAAAAAACAAACAAACAAGCUGUUUACAGACGUCCUGCCUUCUCCUCCAGGUGAAAUAUUCACAUGGUGUAUGUAAGAGAAUUAUUUUGAUAGAGGCCGAAUGGACUCCCUGCCCUGCUAUUGAUCAGUGCAUGUUACAGUAAUGAUCAUGUCAAAUGACUUAUGUGAGCUGUGCUCCCAGUGCGUAACCAGAGGAAGGCCUGGUGAAAAUGGUUUGGGGUGGGGCUUUGUGCUAUCUUUUAACGGUUACUGUGAAUGUGUUAUGGAUUAUGUUGUUUUUUUAAGAUGUGUAUGGUGUAUUGUGUGCAUCCUGGCUGGAUAGGUUUUUGUUUUUUACCCCGUGUGCAGUGCUAUGUUGAAUGUGUUAUUGUAAAUAAAAAGGUGAACCUAUGUGAGAGAUGCUCCAGCCAACUAAGAAUUACAUUUGAACAAUGUGACAGUUUAAGAAUUACAAUAGCAAUAGUCUGGUCAUGAUGGAAGUCAUUGUACUUCCUACACAGCCUCUGGAUUGCAGUUAAAUCUGUGGUAUUGUUGUGCUGACUCACAAAAUGCAUCUUAAUGUUAAGUUUCUGGUGUAAAAUGCUGUAAAGUAAAUGAAGUGGGUGCUAAAUGUGAAAAUAAAGCUCCAAGCUAAUUGAAGGGACGCUACCACAGGUGUCACAAUGGGCAGCACAGGGUCAAGAAAUGCAUCGCCUUUUGUGUUGACUUUCUUUCUUUGGGUAUUACUGUGCCUCAGAAGUAAACAUUAAAAAAAAUCUUCUAAUA